CUCAACAACUGACUCACCGUAUUGUUUCUUGGCGAACAGUUUUGCACUCUAUGUGUGUCCUCAGUGCAUGACGCGUUUCCCUGCAGGGCCUUUGGCUGCUGCAGCUCGAAGCCAGAGGUAGAAGCAGAAGAAGCAGGAGACUAAUGCGCAGAAGAUGCUUGUGGGAGAUAGAAGAAGAUCUUUUUAGCAAUGUCAAAUGGGAAGUGAUAAACGAGGAAUUCCAGUUGUUGAAAACGACUCGAGAGGGUCAGACGGCCGCACUGGAGGGACUGAAGCGGCUCUGACACUUCGCCUUCCAUUCCCGAGUCUCGAAAGUGGAGGAACCAUGCCCCCUUGCACAUCCAUGCAACUACGCCCCUGCCUGAUGACAGUCCAAUGAAAUUGCGAUCCUGUAUGCUGGCCACGCUCAGGACAGAAAGAGCAGACAGGAAGAGGAAGUCAGACAGACAACAGGAAAUGACUCCAGCACGACAGGAAUUCUCUCAGGUCCGCAAUGAUUGAAGACAUGGGUCCAAAUAUGAUGGUUGCCAUGGUGGCAGCCGACAAAACACUCCUGAUGCUCCACACACAACCAGAUUCUUUUUGGAGAUUACGGGAUGAUGAUUCACUUUUAAAGUAUGUCGAGAUGUGUCC